CUCUUGCUUAAAAAAAGUAUUCGGCGGAUGGCUACGUAAAGUGAUAAAAUAUGGACGGAAUAAAACCCGAAAGGCCUUGUUUUUCUUCAAUAAUACUUUUUUCUUGGAAAAGUGGAAGGAAAAUAAACAAGGAUCUCCAAAAAUAUGAGAAGAUCUUACCAUUUUUUUCAAUAGCAAAAAAUGUGUCUUUUAGUACUAUGUGAACUGAAACAUCUAAGUAACAUAAGGAAAAGAAAUCAACCGAGACUCUGCAAGUAGUGGCGAGCGAACGUGGAAUAGGCUUUAAACAGAAUCAUUAAAAGUGUAAAGAGCACAGCGCCAGAAAAAAGUGGAAUUCUAUACCAAAGAGGGUGAUAGUCCCGUAGUGGCGUUUCCUUUUACAUAUUUAAAACAUAUAAUGUAUUUCGGAAGUAAAGCUCACAAAAAAGAGCUUGAAUGAAAAAAAUAAUUUAUUAUUUUUAAGAGAUACCACUCUCUAAGCCUAAGUAUAUAACUUUAACGAAUAGUGAAUAAGUACCGUGAGGGAAAGAUGAAAAAGGCCCUAAGACAGGGCGUGAAAAGAUCCUGAAACCGGAUAUUAAGAAUCAGUCAAUGCGUGGAAUUAAUUUCUAUGCUAUGGCGUACCUCUUGCAUAAUGGGUCAGCGAGUUCAUGAAUUCAGCAAGCUUAAACGUAUAGUGGAGGCGCUCUGAAAAAGAAAGAAAAAAGAAUUGACAUAAUUAAAAAUAUAAAAUAAAAGUUGUGUUCAUGAUACCCGAAUCCGAGUGAUCUAGCCAUGGUCAGGUGGAAGAAAUUUGAAAUAUAGUUUUGGAAGACCGAACCCACAUGUGUUGCAAAACAUGGGGAAGAAUUGUGGCUAGGGGUGAAAGGCUAAUCAAACUCGGGGAUAGCUGGUUUUCCGCGAAAUCUAUUGAGGUAGAGCCUGAAUUUAUCUUCUGCAGGGGUAGAGCACUCGUUGCGUGCGGGUGGCCCAAAGCUUGACCAAGCGCAUGGAAACUCCGAACACUGCUGUUAAGAAAAAUCAGAGACAGAACUUGGGUGCUAAGGUCCAAGCUCAAAAGGGAAACAGCCCAGACUGUCCGCUAAGGUCUCUCAGCGAUUAUCUUAUAGUGAAAAAGGCCAGGAGAAAAGCGAUAACUAUUAGGCGGUGGGCUUAGAAGCAGCCAUCCGUGAAAGAAAGCGUAACAGCACACUAGUAGAGUUUUUCUCUGCCGAAAAUGAAAGGAGACUGAAGAAAUCCACCGAAGCGACAGAGAAAUAUAUAUAUAUUUCUGGUAGCGGAACGUUUCGAAUCUAUUAAAAGAGGACUUUUCGUAAGAAAACUUUCUCUAGCUCGAAAGUGAGAAUGCUGACAUGAGUAACGAUUUUCUGUGAAAGACAGAAUAACCGGAAGCUUCCGGGGUUCCACUAUCGGACAAUCCAAGUGGAUCAAUACGGACCCUAAAAAGGUAAGCAAUUCCUAUGCUUUAUUCUUUGAUGGGAUUUUUUAUUUUGUUUUAGUGACGAAAUACGUCUAUUUUUUUCUUCUCUUUUAUUUGGAAAUAAAGAAAAAAAUGGGCUUAUUUCCAGGAAAUAGCCCUUAAUAAAAAUACCGUACCCUUAACCAACACAGGUAAGCACGUAGAGUAAACGAAGGUUAUUUGAGCAAACCAUGCUGAAGGAACUCGGCCAAUUGAUCCAGUAAGUUUAAGUCCUUACUGGAUACUAUUUACUUUGUAAAUAGUGUCACAAACUAGGGAGCGGCGACUGUUUAUUAAAAACACAGGACUCUGCCAACUCGAAAGAGAAUGUAUAGGGUCUGACACCUGCCCGGUGCUGGAAGAUGAACCAAAGAAGGUUAACAGCUUUUUUUAUUAAGUCCCAGUAAACGGCGGCAGUAACUCUAACUGUCCUAAGGUAGCGAAAUUCCUUGUCGGGUAAGUUCCGACCCGCAUGAAUGGUGUUACGACUGCUCCACUGUCUCCAGCAUGGGCUCCGUGAAAUUGAAUUCUCCGUGAAGAUGCGGAGUACCAACGGCUAGACGGUAAGACCCCGUGCACCUUAACUGUUCCCAUUGUAUGAUGUACUGGAAUCCGAAUGUGUAGUAUAGGUGGGAGUGGCUUUAAACCAUGUUAGUGAAAUACCACCCUUUUACGGUUUUCGUCAUCUAACUUAUUUGUUUUUAAGGAAAUACCAUGGUAGACAGUUUGACUGGGGCGGUCGCCUCCUGAAAAGUAACGGAGGCGCACAAAGGUAAGCCAAAAUAGAUAAACUAUGCGCAAUGGCAGAAGCUUGCCUGACUGCAAGAAAAACAGUUCGAGCAGAGACGAAAGUCGGUCAUAGUGAUCCGGGGUUUCCUUGUGGAUGGGACCCCGCUCAACGGAUCAAAGGUACGCCGGGGAUAACAGGCUGAUGACUCCCAAGAGUUCCCAUCGACGGAGUCGUUUGGCACCUCGAUGUCGACUCAUCACAUCCUGGAGCUGAAGAAGGUUCCAAGGGUUCGGCUGUUCGCCGAUUAAAGUGGUACGUGAGUUGGGUUUAGAACGUCGUGAGACAGUUCGGUUCCUAUCUACCGUUGGAAAAUAAACACAUUAGUGUGUCAAAAAGCCAUGGAGGCUCUUCUUUAGUACGAGAGGACCAAGAAGAAUCAACCCAGGGUGAACCGAUUGUUCUACCAAGAGCACCGUCGGGUAGCUAAGUUGAUAUUAUAUUUAGAGAAAGUCUGAUGUUCUUCUAAGACUGAAUCAUUCUCCAAGAAGCUUUUUUUUUACAUAAUAGACUAUUAUGAUAUUAGGAGUUCUGAAAAGUGUACUAACUGUAAAGUUAUUUUUAGCUUACAUUCCUAAUAUUUAUUUAUUUUUUGUA
rnacentral:rRNA from 1 species